UUGCUCUUAGUAACAUCCUUAACUCUUUGCCGGAUAUAUCUUUUUGCCAUUCCUCACCACAAACCCUUUCGGCGGGGGAUACCAAUUCAUUGAAUUUGCUUGUUUAAAUUAUUUUGUUUUUGUAUUCAAGAUUUUGAAAAGAUAUAAGUGCACUGCCAAACAUUUCCACUAAAAUAUUUGAAGAACAGGGAGAGCUAUUUCCUGGUAUUUAGUGUUGUUAAACUC
rnacentral:lncRNA from 1 species